GUAAAAACUUUGCUCUGCCAUGUGUUUCCUGCCGUGAUCUACUCUCUCCUCUAAGGCCCAGAAGCAAUGAGGUCAACCAACCAUGGACUAAAACUCCAAAAUUAGUUUUCUGUUCAAGACCCUGGUAAUGAAAUAGAACAUCAGCCAGAUGGGUAGAUAUUCGCUAAAAGUUUAAUUAGUAAAAGGAAAAAAAUAAUUCCCUGUCAAGGGGCCUAUGUGGGGUUGCUCUCUACCAAGACGCGGAUGUACUGCUUGACUGUCCUCAUGAGCUACUGAGGAGAACUAAUGGAGAGUUACACUGGGAAUUCCAUCUGCAUCCUCCUGCCUCUGAGACUGCCCUGUGACAGGAGUGAGGAGGAGGCAGUUGGAUUGCAUGCUCUGGAUCCUAGUGAUGCUUCAUGUGCUUAGGAGCAAGGCUGCCCUGGGAGACUCUUGGACUGACAAAAAUUUCCAGAGAAGGACUGAGCCUUCAGGGAUGCUAAAGAGGAAGAAGGUAACCACAACCUCGUCUGAGAUCUUAAUCUUUGUAUUGCUGAAGCUUGAGUUAAUACCACUCUGGCCUGACCAUAUCUGACCAUAUUCCAGACUGCAGAAACCACAGGACUGGGGCUAUGAAUGUCCACUUCUCUAGGUAGGCAAGGCUUCCACCAGCAGAGAAUAUGGCUUCUUCUAUCCCAAGGAUCCUUGGACCAAACCACUUCCUCUCCUCCCAGAAGAAAGGAAGGGAUUCUUUUUUAAAAAUAUUUUUUAGUUGUAGAUAGACACAGCACUUUUAUUUUAUUUAUUUAUUUUAUGUGGUACUAAAGAUUGAAUCCAGCCCCUCACACGUGCUAGGCAACUACUCUACCACUGAGCCACAACCCCAACCCAAGGAGGGGGUUCUUUCCAUGGGGACCUUUCUGUUUUUCUAGGGAUAAUACAGCACAAUCUUCUCCUCCUCACACCAGCCCAGGGGCUUCAUCUGGGACCUGGAAUCACAGUGUGGCCAGGGCCUACUGUCUAUGGACCAUGACUGCCUACAUUCUGGUUGCAUAUUUUUCUUUGUUCUCCUGUGUCCAGUGACCAAUUUCCCCAUCUUUGUAAAUGUCAGACUUACUACUUCUUCUUUUUGCUUUUAGCUGUUUUAUUACUUCAU